CGGGUCUGCGCCGCGCGCUCCCGGACAGGCGCGCCUGCGCAUUGUGCUGGUCUCCAUGGCGGGGCCUCGGAGCCAAGACGAGAAAAAAUGCUGCUGUGCUGCUGUGAAGACACAAUAACAACUUGUGUAUAAAUGAAGCUACAACUCUCAUGAUUGAUUGCCCCUGAAAGAACUUCAGUGGACAAGAAAGGACAUUUCUGAAGGUAGUGGAAAGCUGGGGGCCUAGAAUUUACUCUUGAGUCAUUGCCUGAAGUUAGGAUGAAACCAACAGAUCAUGAGACAAUUGCCAUUGAAAACAUAGUUUAUUAAACUUUCUAAGAGGAGAGGAAUAUGUCCCACCAUGCAGACCCACAGAAAAGAACAAGCUAUUAAAUAAUGAAGAAAAUGGAAUUGAAUAUGAUACCAGUAUGGAACAGUCUAACGAGUCUUUAAGAGUCAUCCAUCAUGAUGGCAAAGAGUCAAAAACAGAUGCUCCUGCGUUUGAGCAUCUAACCUGUAUGGACUCCAGAGAUUCUUCCUUUGGCCAAAAUGAUUCUUCUCCAGUUUUACCUGUCACUACUCCUGAAGCAAAUAAUUCGCUCACAUCACAGAAUAUACAAGGGUCCCGGACUCAGGCACAGACUUUUUCUGCAGAGCAGUUCCAUCUAGUGGACCAGAAUGGGCAACCCGUUCAAUAUGAACUUCAGUCAUUAGGGGAUUCUAAUGCACAAAUGAUGAUUGUUACCAGCCCUUCAGAAAAUGGACAGGUGUUUCGUGUAAUUCCAUCUACCCAGACAGGAAUGGCACAAGUGAUUAUACCUCAGGGACAGCUUGUGGAUGUGAAUAGUCUUCGGGAUGUCUCUGAAGAGAAACCCAGUGACAGAAACUUACCACCUGUAAGAGGGGAUGUGCUUACUGACAACAAUACCAGUAGCUACAUUCUUCAUCCACAGGCCUCUCUCACAUUACCCAAAAGAAUGCUUGAAGAAUCUUUUCUGGCUCCUCUUCAACCACUUUCUUCUAAUACACCUAUAUGGGCCUGCCGUCUUAGGAGCUGUGAGAAAAUUGGAGAUUCGUACCGUGGCUAUUGUAUAAGUGAGACUGAAUUAGAAAGUGUCCUGACAUUUCACAAGCAACAAACACAGAGUGUUUGGGGAACCCGCCAGUCUCCAAGCCCAGCUAAACCUGCUACUCGCUUGAUGUGGAAAUCCCAGUAUGUCCCAUAUGAUGGAAUCCCAUUUGUCAAUGCAGGGAGCAGAGCUGUGGUAAUGGAGUGUCAGUAUGGGCCAAGGAGAAAAGGAUUCCAAUUAAAAAAAAUCAGUGAGCAGGAAAGCAGAUCUUGUCAACUGUAUAAAGCCACUUGUCCAGCCCGGAUUUACAUCAAAAAAGUACAGAAGUUUCCUGAAUAUAGAGUUCCUACAGACCCCAAAAUUGACAAGAAAAUAAUCAGAAUGGAGCAGGAAAAGGCCUUUAACAUGCUGAAGAAGAACUUGGUAGAUGCUGGUGGUGUUCUUAGGUGGUAUGUACAGUUACCUACACAGCAAGCUCAUCAAUAUCAUGAAUUAGAGACUCCUUGCCUCCCUUUGUCACCGUCCCCUUUUCCUGUGUCUUCUCUUGAAGAAGAGGAAACUGCAGUUAGAGAUGAGAAUUGUGCAUUACCGUCACGUCUGCAUCCUCAAGUCGCACAUAAGAUUCAAGAAUUAGUAUCACAGGGAAUAGAACAAGUAUAUGCAGUAAGGAAACAGCUAAGAAAAUUUGUGGAACGAGAACUGUUCAGACCUGAUGAGGUACCUGAAAGACAUAAUUUAUCUUUUUUUCCAACUGUAAAUGAUAUUAAAAAUCACAUCCAUGAGGUUCAGAAAUCCUUGAGAAAUGGAGAUACAGUAUAUAACUCAGAGAUUAUUCCAGCAACGCUUCAGUGGACCACAGACAGUGGGAAUAUUCUCAGAGAGACUGUGACGGUUACAUUUGCAGAAGGAAAUUCACCAGGAGAACCAGUUACCACCAAAGUGGAAACAAAUCAGACGGGGGGUUCUUUGCCUCCAGAGCCAACUCACUUGCUCUCCUCACUAUCUGCAUUUCAACCCAAAAUAUUUACACAACUACAGGGCUUGCAAUUACAACCAAGAUUCUCCUCUGCUGAUGGGUCAACAGCUCUGAUAUCAGUAAAUAACCAUCCCUCCUCCAGUCCUUCAAGACUUCUGGAUUCAAUAGGAAGUGCUGUAAUGAGUAAUAAUUCCUUAUUGCUUGGUCAAGGUCAUAGCCUUCAAAUAGAUACAUGCCUAACCCAAAAUAAUAGUACUCCCUCUGCCAUGGGCAACCUUCCAGGACCAGUUCAAAAUCUAGUUGCAAUGGAUCAGCUGGUAGAAGUUGGAGAUGUCGAGGAUACAGGGAGUCUGGAAGGAAGUGUUCAUCGGAUUCUGUUGGGAGAUGUGCAGACCAUUCCCAUACGGAUUGUAGACAACCACCCAGGACUUAUUGAAGAAAAUCCAGAAGGUACCAUUUCUGUGAGCCAAGUUAAGCAAGAACCCAAAGAACCAGCAUUGUCUAUGGAAGCAAAAAAUUUGUUGGACUAUAAGAAAUUAUCUGCUACUUAAAUUAUUGAAGCUUUUCAGAAUUUACAGCUCUGGCGACUCCUGGCAUUUUAUAAAAGAAGGUAGAAACUGGAACUAUCAAUAUUUUCAUGUAAGUAUUUCAAUUAACGGCUCCUUAAAAAUGGUUUCUAAAUGAGUUUUUAAAAUUUUAUUUGUCCUUUAUAUGCAUGUUUAGUCACAAUAUAUCAGUAUUGUAUUUAAAGGUGCUUAGCAUCACUUUUUGACAACUAUGUUUACAUAUUUAAAAAGUUUAGUUAUUUUUUUAGAUAUGUAGGGUAUUAAAUACAAGUGCUUAAAUUUUUCAACAUCUAUAUUUGGCAUUCUCCUAACAGCUCUACAGCAAAGUUUGACAAAUGUUCUUUUGUGUCACAUAUUACAAGGUAUAAUAUCAGUAGUAGUGAGUUGGACAUUCAAAAUUAGCAGUUAGAAAUUCACAAUUACAGCUUAGCUCAUUUCUUCAUUGUAGUUCUCAUGUUCCAAACCUCCAGGUGGUCCUUUACAUAGUACCGUGAAUUACAGAUGAAAAGGCCAUGAUGGGCCUUUCUCUCAAUAACGGUUUUCUGUGUAAGCACUUAGUAUACUUAAAAGAAAAAGCUUUUAUAUAUUAUUCAAGGUAAAUGUUUCCUAAGAGACACUAAAGUGGUAGAAAACAUAGAUUUGGGGGAUCUGGUUCUACAUUAGCAUUUCCAAUUUUGAGGUCUACCAGCUUGUGUUUUGUCUUUUUUUAUAUCUUACCAAAAUAUAUACCUAAUCAUGUGAAUAUGAGAAUGAUGUUGUUUAAUUUGUACCACAUUUGAAAAGAGUUUAAACAAAGUGUGUAUAUAUGUGUAUAUAUGUAUAUAUAUAUAGUAACUUAAUGUAUAUUGUCCUUGUUAUAAUGUAAUUUUUUCAUUAAAAAAUCCUGUGUUAUUUUUUCUUA